AUGCAAAGCCUCCACUCUAUGGAAAUCAUUUCUCUGCUCUCAGAUCAUUUUACUCUGUUUCUAAAACUCACAGCAGCUAGAUGUCUACUGACAGUGCAGGAGGUUUUUGUACGGCCUCUCAAUGAGUUUGUAUCACUGUGGUUGACUUUUGGUGGAGGAACCAAACUUUCCGUUAACUCCGGCCCCACGGUCAGACCCUCAGUCUCUCUGCUGCCCCCCUCCUCUGAGCAGCUCUCUGGGGGCUCGGCCACGCUGCUCUGCCUGCUGAGCGGCUACUCUCCUCAGGGAGCCCAGGUGAGCUGGGAGGUGGACGGCACGGCGGUGACAGAGGGGGUCCUGAGCAGCUCAGAGGAGGAGAAGAGCGGACGCUACGGCAGCAGCAGCACCUUAAGCCUGAGCCAGGAGAAGUGGAUGAAAGGAGAGCUGUACUCCUGCAGGGUGCAGCAUCAGGGCCAGAGCCACGUCCAGAGCAUCCGAAGGAGCCAGUGUGAGGGCCAGAGAGGCUGACUGAGGCCCAGAGCAGGAGCUCUUAGUGGGAGAGCAGCAGGAAAAACACCUGCUGCUCUCAUCAAUAGGAGCCUGGAUGAAGACAAACUAAAGCUUGUGUGACGCUGAACUAAACUGCUGAGAAACGUUCAACAACUUAGACUAAUGUGUGAAGCUCAGCAGCUGGAUGUGAGUGGGAUUCAUUUGCUGUGUGUUUCAAUAAAGCUUGCUCUGAUACAUUAUAA